rnacentral:rRNA from 1 species
UACGUAGGGCGCAAGCGUUGUCCGGAAUUAUUGGGCGUAAAGAGCUCGUAGGCGGCUUGUCACGUCGAUUGUGAAAGCCCGAGGCUUAACCUCGGGUCUGCAGUCGAUACGGGCUAGCUAGAGUGUGGUAGGGGAGAUCGGAAUUCCUGGUGUAGCGGUGAAAUGCGCAGAUAUCAGGAGGAACACCGGUGGCGAAGGCGGGUCUCUGGGCCGAUACUGACACUGAGGAGCGAAAGCGUGGGGAGCGAACAGG